ensembl:lncRNA
CGAUUCCACUCAGAGCGGGGCUUCAUGAGGAGGUAGGAGCGGACCGGAGAGCUGACACGUCGAGCGGUUUCACGCUCCUUCAGGAUACCGACUCCAGAGAGAGGCGUCCCGGGGUCAGCUCGGACACCAGCCCGGACACCAGCCCGGACAUGGCGGAGGAGGCCUGCGAGCAGAUGCGCCCUCUCCUCCUCACAUCUACGAGUCGGGUCGCUCCUUUUGUUGUUGAGUAACCACGCGUCUGCCAGGAAGUGCGUCUCCGGUCUCAUCUCUGAUCACAGGAUGGGGAUGGGGGUGUGGGACACAAUGGGCGACAUGUGCUCCUCGUCCCGGGCCGGUUCGCCAGCCCAGGGACCCGGGACCACAGCCCAGGUACAUGGUCUCCCCCGGCCACGGGACCCGGGACCACAGCCCCAGGUCUCUCCCAGUCCCGGUUGGGUGGACCCGGUGGGGUACGGUGGAGGACGGGGAUCUUUGUCUCCAAAGUUGACUCGUGGGAUCGUUUUGUGUAGAUGG